GCACUGUUGACGAGUCCCAAAAAGGAUGAAACAGCUGUCCAGUGC
rfam:Echinostoma caproni strain Egypt genome assembly, scaffold: ECPE_scaffold0010846